AAAUCUCAGGAGAGUCUCUUUGCGGACUUUUGAUUGAUAAGUCUGUAAUAAGAGCGCCGAAGGUGUAAGCGGUACCGCAAUGUAAGCGGCUUGCCGUGAGUCUCUCAGGCAAAAGGAUGGAGGUAUAA
rnacentral:ncRNA from 1 species